GCGCUGCCUUUGGGCCCCCGCUGCGCCUGUGCGUGGCGCCGGGGGUCAAGCUGCGGCGCUAGAGAACCUGCUCGCGCAUAACUGGGGCCCCCUGCCAUUCGCGGGCGGCUCUUUUAACCACGAGCAACACGG
ensembl:snoRNA